GUCCUUCGUGAUCGCACGAAGGACCUUCCUGAUGAGUAUUUUGUUGUGUUGGUUGGUGAUAUGGUGACGGAAGAUGCACUACCGACGUAUCAGAGCAUGAUUAAUGGUCUUGAUGGUGUUGGUGAUGAGAUUGGUGCUAGUCCAAGCCCGUGGGCCGUUUGGACACGGGCUUGGACUGCUGAAGAAAAUAGGCAUGGAGAUUUGCUUAGGACUUAUUUGUAUCUUUCUGGUAGGGUUGAUAUGGAGAUGAUU
rnacentral:lncRNA from 1 species